GAGGAAUAUUGGUCAAUGGGCGCAAGCCUGAACCAGCCAAGUAGCGUGCAGGAAGACGGCCCUAUGGGUUGUAAACUGCUUUUAUACGAGAAUAAUUUGAUGCACGUGUGCGUUAUUGCAUGUAUCGUAUGAAUAAGGACCGGCUAAUUCCGUGCCAGCAGCCGCGGUAAUACGGAAGGUCCAGGCGUUAUCCGGAUUUAUUGGGUUUAAAGGGAGUGUAGGCGGUCUGUUAAGCGUGUUGUGAAAUUUAGGUGCUCAACAUCUACCUUGCAGCGCGAACUGGCGGACUUGAGUGCACGCAACGUAUGCGGAAUUCAUGGUGUAGCGGUGAAAUGCUUAGAUAUCAUGACGAACUCCGAUUGCGAAGGCAGCGUACGGGAGUGUUACUGACGCUUAAGCUCGAAGGUGCGGGUAUCGAACAGGAUUAGAUACCCUGGUAGUCCGCACGGUAAACGAUGGAUGCCCGCUGUUAGCGCCUGGCGUUAGCGGCUAAGCGAAAGCAUUAAGCAUCCCACCUGGGGAGUACGCCGGCAACGGUG
rnacentral:rRNA from 1 species